GAUGAACGCUGGCGGCGUGCCUAAUACAUGCAAGUCGAACGCAUUGUGGUUGAAAUGAUAUGAAGAACUUGUUCAGAUUUGAUUUUCAACAUUGCAAUGAGUGGCGAACGGGUGAGUAACACGUGGGAAACCUACCUCUUAGCAGGGGAUAACAUUGGAAACAAAUGCUAAUACCGUAUAAUAAUUAAAACCGCAUGGUUUUAGUUUAAAAGAUGGUCUUGCUAUCACUAAGAGAUGGUCCCGCGGUGUAUUAGUUAGUUGGUGAGGUAAUGGCUCACCAAGACAAUGAUACAUAGCCGAGUUGAGAGACUGACCGGCCACAAUGGGACUGAGACACGGCCCAUACUCCUACGGGAGGCAGCAGUAGGGAAUCUUCCACAAUGGACGAAAGUCUGAUGGAGCAACGCCGCGUGUGUGAUGAAGGUUUCGGCUCGUAAAACACUGUUGUAAGAGAAGAAUGAC
rnacentral:rRNA from 1 species